AAUCAAAAAGUGUCAAAAAUAGCUUGGGCAAUUGUGUCUGCUGCUUGGUUAGUUGCUGCAAUAUGCUUCUUCAUAACUCUGUUCACACACCAUUGGCUCUGGCUUCUCUAUGUAUUCAAUAUCAUUCAAGUUUGUAUGACAUGCGUAAAAUAUAUUCCCCAG